AGGACGAACGCUGGCGGCGUGCUUAACACAUGCAAGUCGAGCGGAAAGGCCCUUCGGGGUACUCGAGCGGCGAACGGGUGAGUAACACGUGAGUAACCUGCCCCUAGCUCUGGGAUAGCUCCGGGAAACCGGGAUUAAUACCAGAUACGACCACUUUAGACAUCUGUCGUGGUGGAAAGGAUUCCGGCUAGGGAUGGGCUCGCGGCCUAUCAGCUUGUUGGUGGGGUAACGGCCUACCAAGGCGACGAC
rnacentral:rRNA from 1 species